UCUGUGUGGGGAUGAAUCCCUUAUCUGGAGACGGUUGGAUGAAUCUUGCGGAUAUGGGACUGAGCACAGGC
rnacentral:snoRNA from 2 species